rnacentral:rRNA from 1 species
CCUCCUACGGGGCGCAGCAGUGAGGAAUAUUGGUCAAUGGGCGGGAGCCUGAACCAGCCAAGCCGCGUGAGGGAAGAAGGUACAGCGUAUCGUAAACCUCUUUUGUCAGGGAACAAAGGCGGGGACUAGUCCCCGGAUGAGGGUACCUGAAGAAAAAGCAUCGGCUAACUCCGUGCCAGCAGCGGCGGGAAUACGGGGGGUGCGAGCGUUAUCCGGGUUUAUUGGGUUUAAAGGGUGAGCAGGCGGCCUGUU